rnacentral:sRNA from 1 species
AAAAAAAAAAGAGGGGUUUGAAUCCUCCUGGUGGCAAAUGCUCGCUGUGGCAGCAAGGUAACCUGCCACAACCAGCCACCAAACCAGGAGCCUGAACUGAGGGCACGGUGUCAGCUUCCCUGACCCCUACAGACAGCAGCCCCUUGUGUGGGCGACUAACCUCUGGACGACCCCCACCUUUCCAACACUUUGCAGUUGCUAGCAUUGUUGGAAACACCUGCAGUGGUUUUUCUGCUAGCCACUCACUGCUACACUGUCAUCUUCUGUCUUUAAAUGUAGCGCACUCUCAACCCAGCCAUGAGAGCUUAGCUUCAGCACUACGGUCCACUGUAAUUAGUUUAAAUUACGGGUAGAUGUGUCUCACAGAGGCCAGUGGCCUCACGUCUCCUGGAGCUGGAGUCAGAUGGUUGUAGCCACCUAAUAGGAGUGCUGGAGGACUGAACUACUUUGGGGAGAGCAGCUAAAUUCUUUUGACUUCAGCGCCAUCUCGAUUCGACACUGUGGCCAGAAGAUGGCAGUAAGAAGCCAGACACCAGCAGUGGGAAGGCACACAGCCUACAGGUCUGAGGAACAUGUCUGCCAGAUAGUCCGUGCACUUGGGAAGAGGACCCCCAUCUUGCAGCCAAGACAUUUCCUUCUAAACAUCACACUUUCCUUCAGUUUCUGGCCCCAGGUGAGCCACGGCCAAGUCCUGUUGGCACUGGUCCUGCCGUUCCUGGCUAUGGCGAUCGAGUGAAGACUUGGCUUCCUGUCUUACAUGGUAACGUUUUUAUUUUCAUGACAUCUUCUAUCACAAUGUUCUGUGAGGUGAGACAUGAGUGACUCAGAGCGUUCUCUACUCGCCCAUCCCAUGAGCACACGCCCAAGCACGCAGAAAGCCUCACCUCCUCACAGGACUCCUAAAGACUGCAGAAGCCCAAGCCUAGAGCAGAGGUGUGUCUGUCACCAUCCCUGCCAUGUUGACUUAAGGUGCCUCCCUCCCUGUACCUGUCUGAAGUCUAGCCAAGACCACAUUCCCCCUGUCAGCCCUGUUCUCUAAGACUGUCAACACCAUAGUUGGUCAGAGCAGCCACUGGGAGAGCCAAAAACAUUCUGAGUGAGGGUAAAAUCUGAACUAGGACAACUAUCAUUAGUACUAAAGUUCACAUGCUCCCAAAUGAGGGCCUCACUGCUGACCGUCUGUGAUUGUGGUUCCCCACAUCUGGCAGGCAUGGGCAAGACAGGAUCUGACAGAAAUAGCAGCUGUGAUUACCCCUGGCAUGAAAACCAACAUCUUGGCUCCUGCUAUCUUGAAGACAAAGAUUCUAAAA